AGCUUUGAGCAGUGACAGUAUCAUGUAGCCAAUGAGGCUUAUCUGUGGCAUGAUUAUUGCGAAUUGAACUCUCUAGAGAGGUCAGUAUUACUCCCACUUUAUAGAUGAGAAAAAAUAAGUGACAGAGAAAUUAAAUAAUU
rnacentral:snRNA from 1 species